rnacentral:rRNA from 1 species
AUACCGCAUACGUCCUACGGGAGAAAGCAGGGGACCUUCGGGCCUUGCGCUAUCAGAUGAGCCUAGGUCGGAUUAGCUAGUUGGUGAGGUAAUGGCUCACCAAGGCUACGAUCCGUAACUGGUCUGAGAGGAUGAUCAGUCACACUGGAACUGAGACACGGUCCAGACUCCUACGGGAGGCAGCAGUGGGGAAUAUUGGACAAUGGGCGAAAGCCUGAUCCAGCCAAGGCGCGUGUGUGAAGAAGGUCUUCGGAU